AUUGAACGCUGGCGGCAUGCUUUACACAUGCAAGUCGAACGGUAACAGGCCUUCGGGUGCUGACGAGUGGCGAACGGGUGAGUAAUGCAUCGGAACGUACCCAGAGGUGGGGGAUAACGCAGCGAAAGCUGUGCUAAUACCGCAUGUGAUCUGAGGAUGAAAGCGGGGGACCGAGCAGCAAUGUUUGGCCUCGCGCCUUUGGAGCGGCCGCUGUCGGAUUAGCUAGUUGGUGGGGUAAAGGCCUACCAAGGCGACGAUCCGUAGCUGGUCUGAGAGGACGACCAGCCACACUGGGACUGAGACACGGCCCAGACUCCUACGGGAGGCAGCAGUGGGGAAUUUUGGACAAUGGGCGCAAGCCUGAUCCAGCAAUGCCGCGUGCGGGAAGAAGGCCUUCGGGUUGUAAACCGCUUUUGGCAGGAACGAAACGGUGUCCGCUAAUACCGGGCGCUAAUGACGGUACCUGCAGAAUAAGCACCGGCUAACUACGUG
rnacentral:rRNA from 1 species